rnacentral:misc_RNA from 1 species
GAUGAAGACGUAGCGAAAUGCGAUAAGUAGUGUGAAUUGCAGAAUUCAGUGAAUCAUCGAAUCUUUGAACGCACAUUGCGCCCCAUGGUAUUCCGUGGGGCAUGCCUGUUCGAGCGUCAUUUACCCCCUCAAGCUCCGCUUGGUGUUGGGCGUCUGUCCCGCUUCGCGCGCGGACUCGCCCCAAAGGUAUUGGCAGCGGUCGUGCCAGCUUCUCGCGCAGCACAUUGCGCUUCUCGAGGCACCGGUGGGCCCGCGUCCAUCAAGCUCACCCCCCCAGUUUGACCUCGGAUCAGGUAGGGAUACCCGCUGAACUUAAGCAUAUCAAUAAGCGGAGGA